UAUUAUGUAUGAAAUGUGUCAUGCAAAGUGGGAUAUAAAUGCUAUAAAAGUGUGAUUACCGUCUAUAAAAUGUAUGAGAGGGAAGACCACCUGAAUGCGUUUAACAUUUUUAAAAAAGUGACAUAUUACUUUUGACAUUUUUUUUUUAAGAAUCUUUAAUGAAAAAGCUGGAACAAAAGAUGCUUGAUAUUACUUACUAAUGAUUACUUUUAGUUCUGUUUUUACAAUUAAAAUUACAAACAAAAAAAAGGAGGUGCAGUUCUGCUCUAUUUAUAAGAUUAGUAAAGUUUAGAAGCUUAAGAAUAAUAGUAGUGGUCUCUCAUUGUAUAGGAUUCUACAAAGUCAUUAUCUUUUCAAGCUUCCUUCAUUCUAAACUAUUUGGCUUCUCCAACUUGAUAGUGUUAUGUCCAUUAGGUAACUU